rfam:Triticum aestivum genome assembly, contig: Triticum_aestivum_CS42_TGACv1_scaffold_433441_5DL
GACAUACUCCCUCCAUCCGAAAAUACUUGUCAUCAAAAUGGAUAAAAAUGGAUGUAUCUAGAACUAAUAUACAUCUAGAUACAUCUCCUUUUAUUCAUUUUGAUGACAAGUAUUUCCGGACGGAGGGAGAAUCAA